AUGUCAGGCAUCCACGCCCGCUUCUGUAAAGACUUUCGGCUCCACAAGAGAACGGGAAGUCACUGUGAAGAAAGAGGCAGGCGAUGUAACCGGAAAAGCGCGGGUUUGAUGUCAAACAGACCUGCGUGGUUCCACCGCUUUCCGACUGUGUGACACCUCCCUCCCCCACCCCCGGCCCAGUUGCUCUCUGAACCUAAGUCUUGGAAAAUGGAACCAAUAAUACCUGUUCUUCAAGACUGUUCCUGCUGGAAGCUCCAAGAUUCAUCUGAAGGCGUGAUCACAUCCUCAAUGUUGAGUGGACUAUGAACCGGCUGCCAGAGACAGGGUUCCAAGCCGGGCCAGGCCCAUCCCAAUGCCCACCCGAAAAGACGGGACAGAGGAAAGAAAGAAACAAAAUCCUGGGGCUCCAUUGGCUUUCUUUUUGACUCCAGCUGAAGUUGCUGCAUAGUGUGGCCUUGCCAGUCCUCGCCUUGAAAAGGCUGGAAGCGACUGACGUGAUGGAUCAUCUAAUCCCACAGCCUCAUUUUGCAGAGGACCCCGAGCCUCGACUUGGCCAAGGUCACACAGCUGGGCCACACCCAUGGCGUAUGGUUUUCAUAUGGAAUUGGAGCUGCAGUUGCCGGCCUGUGCCACAGCCACAGCAAGUUCAGGAUCACAAGGCUCCGAGAGGUUAAUUUAUCCACUCCAGGUCACCCAUAUCAUGGAUGGGAGAAGAGGAGGGACCGAAGCUCUCCUGGCACCGUGCCCAGUUCUUUCCAGCCCUUUCUGUCACGUAUGCAGUGCUCUGCAUGAGCCAACGUGGAUCGCACAGCAUGUGAAGCAGCCUUCCCGGAGAACUCGGAAACCGGUCCAGCUUGGAGGAAUCUCAUUAGCACUUUUCAAAGCUUUACCCCGACUGCAUUUUAAGUUGUAUAAUUUUUCUGGAUCUGGAUCUCGAAUGAAUGCUGGUUAUUGGCAAGCACUGCAUCUCAUUCGGGGAAAGCGUUCCUCAUCACAUGAUUCAAACUGUAUCCAAAGACUAGAGAAGAGGAAACACAAAAACGCUUCAAAUGAAAGGCAUUUAGAGAGUCUCCUGCUACUUGACUUAUAAAAAUAAUGGCAAUGAUUCAUAAAGGUCGCUGUCUAAUUCCUUCAAGACCCAAGAAUUCAUGCAUCUGGACCUCCUGGUUGUUCUCUGUUCAGUUUCUCCACGAAGCCCCUUGCCUCUGUUUUGCCACAGCUAAAAUAAAUUACCAGGCUUCUCUUGUCCAUAUACAUGACAAUUUGAGGCUUUAAAACAAUGUACAUUAAAAAAAAAAAAAAAGGAUUUCGGCAGCUUGGAAAUUUGCAAUGUUAGUAAUGCUUGGUACUUUUUAUCUUGAUAUAUAUAUUUUAAUCACAUCUACACUGUUGGCUGGGGUCAAGUCAUUCUGCAUUUUUUGCUGGGUUAUUUGCUUUUCUCAGCCUUCCUAGAUUUAGAAAGCUUAAUUUUAUUCCUUUCUCCAUUUUGUUAGGCUCAUAGUCACUCUUAAAAGAAUCAAAAUCUCACCCAGAAACAACUUGCUGGCCAUUUCCUAGAAUUUAUGGUUGUAGGGAGUACACUGAUUUAAUAAAAUAGAAGUUUUUUUUUUUUUGCUUUUUUAUAAGGGCCACACCCGCAGCAUAUGGAAGUUCCCAGGCUAGGGGUUGAAUCAGAGCUGCGGCUGCCAGCCUAGGCCAUAGUCACAGCAAUGUGGGAUCCAAGCCGUGUCUUCGACCUGCACCACAGCUCACGGCAACGCUGGAUCCUUAACCCACUGAGCUAGGCCAGGGAUGGAACCUGAGUCCUCAGGGAUACUAACUGGAUUCGUUUCCACUGCGCCAAGAUAGGAACUCCCAGAAGUUCCUUUUUGAAAGUGUUUUUCCCAUUGGCCAUUUCUGUUCUGAUCUUCCAUGUAUGUGUAUUUAUAUAUUUCAUUACUUUUUUGUUCUUAUUUUUUUCUUAAACCAUAGCAUGAGCCCGGGUAGACCUGGGUUUGAAUCCCCAGCUCCUUUUACAUUUUGUGCAUUUUCAAGGUUCUAGAAGGACAGAUGCCUCUAGGAAGAAGUUUCUCAUGCCCUUCCCAUGGUUUAGGGUGGCAGGCAUUCCUUCCACAUGUUCUGGAAUAAUCCCUCACAUAUGGCUAUGUUGGGGAGUGGCGAGGGAAAGUCAGGGUCAAGAUAAACAUGAGGAAGGAGUGGGAGGAUUUGGAAAAGAUUAUUUCUCUCAAGAGCACGUAAUCAUGCUAUACAAAGAAACUAAUGAGCAGGAUUUGGAGAUGCCUGAAGUCCAAGACAUAGUUAGAGCUUAAAGUUAAAAGCCUUGAUUUUCUAGACUAAAAUUCCCCAAGUCUUAAAGACUUAAGCAGUUGAAAGACCCUAAACCAUUCAUAGUUCACUUAUCUUCAGCUGUAACUUAGGAAUUAACACCUGUCCCGGAAACACACAAAGCAGUCUUUUCUGGAAGAUGAGCUGCUGAGAAAUUUUCCUGCCACGGUAGACACGAACUACUGUUUUCGUUCAUACAGUGCCUUUGAACACCCUUUAUCUAUCGGGAAAAUUCCACUCUGUAAAACCCAUUCCUCUUAAGAUAGAAACCAGAAAUCUGGAAGUUCCCGGGGUGGCGCAGGGAAGGGGACACGAGUUUGAUCCCUCAGUGGGUUAAAGAUCUGGCAUUGCCAUUAGCUGUGGUGUAGGUUGCAGAUGUGGCUUGGGUCCGCUCCUGAUUCGACCCCCUAGCCUGGGAACUUCCAUAUGCCAUGGGUACCAUCCUAAAAAGACCCCUGCCCCUCCAAAAAAAAUAAAAGAAAAAAAAAA
rnacentral:lncRNA from 1 species